rnacentral:rRNA from 1 species
GACGAACGCUGGCGGCGUGCUUAACACAUGCAAGUCGAACGGUAAGGCCCCAGCUUGCUGGGGUACACGAGUGGCGAACGGGUGAGUAACACGUGGGUGACCUGCCCUGCACUUCGGGAUAAGCCUAGGAAACUGGGUCUAAUACCGGAUAGGACCAUGGUGUGGAUACUGUGGUGGAGAGUUUUUUCGGUGUGGGUUGGGCCCGCGGCCUGUCAGCUUGUUGGUGGGGUAAGGGCCUACCAAGGCGGCGCCGCGUAGCCGGCCUGGUAGGGUGGGCGGCCCCAUUGGGACUGGGCUACGGCCCAGACUCCUCCGGGAGGCAGCGGUGGGGAAUAUUGCACAAUGGGCGGAAGCCUGGUGCAGCGACGCCGCGUGGGGGAUGACGGCCUUCGGGUUGUGAACUCCUUUCACCUUCGACGAAGGGUUUCUGACGGUAGCUGGAGAAGAAGCACCGGCUAACUACGUG